ACGCUCGACACCUACGGGUGGCAGCAGUGGGGAAUAUUGCACAAUGGGGGAAACCCUGAUGCAGCGACGCCGCGUGAGCGAAGAAGUAUUUCGGUAUGUAAAGCUCUAUCAGCAGGGAAGAAACUGACGGUACCUGACUAAGAAGCACCGGCUAAAUACGUGUCAGCAGCCGCGGUAAUCUGAGCGGGCUGGCAAGGC
rnacentral:rRNA from 1 species